CACGGGGACCCCCUCGGGGCCACCCCCCCACCGACUGUCGGCUCCUUGGCUGUGCCACAAGGGCGGAGGCUGCUCGGAUCCAUCCUCCUCCCCAGCCAGCGCACAAGGGCCGCCCUCGAACAACGGAGCAGGUGGCAGAAGGGGAAGCCGAAGCGGACACGGGCGCUGGCUCAGGCCACACACACACCCUCAACCCGCCCGGCAAGAGGCACGAUUCGAGCUCGGGACCGCCAGCCUCAGGCCUGCGGAAAGCAGCUGCUGGGCUGUUUUUAACCAUCCUUGGGCACCUUGGCCCUGCUCCGGCACCCACUGGAGCGCCAAACAUCCCCUGAACUUCAUGGGGUUACUCACAUGUGGAAGCGUUUGUGGGAGCGUAGCUUCACUACAUCAGAAAGUGGUUUGUUUUUAAAUAGCACUUAGUGCCAUCUCUAAGCACUUUAAUUCUCAGUACUUGACAUGUAUGAAUUAUAUUUGCCAUCUUUAACAAGUGGUGGCAUGCCACUCUGGCUGCCACUGCCCUGGCUGAAAGAAGCAUGCCUCAGUACACCUUUGUGCAAAAUACAAAAAGACCUAAUUGACAACCAAAACCUGAAGAAAAACAGAAAACAAACCCAAUUCAAAUAAAACUAACCAAAACAAAUGAGAAUUACAUCAUGCUCUGAAUUUCGGCAGACCAUCAAAGAGAAGGCUCAGCCACGAUGCUGGCACAUUUUAUCUUUAAAAAAAAAAAAAAAAAGUAUCUCAAUCUGAUUUCACCCCCCUCAGUGGAUGUAAGGGGUGCACAGGGCCUGCUUCCUCCUUAUGCCCUUGAAGUCACACAGAGUGCCAAAUGGAAAAGAGAGGUCAGAAUCUAAGCCUUGGUCAAACCAGCUGCACAAGGGAUGUGGUUUUCAGGAACAUCCCACACACCCCAGCCAAGUGUGUCUGCCAGAUUAGAGAGUACCCAAGAUGCAGCAAAGACGACAUGUUUUGGGAGGUACUGCACUGCUCCAAUGCAGGGAAAAGGGAAUGGAAGAAGUGAUGGGAAGCCGAACAGCAGGACAGAAAAGAGAAUCAGGAGUUUGUUAGGGAUGCAACUGAACAGAUGAUUAAAGUAAUGGAAGAGCAAA